ensembl:lncRNA
GGAAUAUUUGAAACUCGCGCGUGAAAAGGUUAAACUACGCAGACAUCAGUGAUGGUCAUUCAGUCUUGCCUGUGUAAACUUACCCCAAUACCAAACAUGGCGGAUUGUGUGGCGAUCAAUGUUUUGGGUGAAACACUGUUGAAAGCUAAAAUCUUAAACUCAGCUCAGCGAUUUGGUUAGAAAUUACAAAUGGACAUGCCAGCCCCGAAGAAACCGAUGCAGAGUUUUACACGAAUCCAUCAACUACUGUAGAUGAAUUGAUUGUAUGAGUUAGUGAACUGUUGUAAGCUGUUGUAACCAAUGUAGAUGUAUUGAUUGUAUAAGUUAGUGAACUGUUGUAAGCUAUUGUAACCAAUGAAACAAAAUAUUAAUUGUUUGUAAUAUGAGCUGAAACUGAAGGAGCAAGUAGGAGAAUAGGAAACCCUGUUCAAGCGGUUGCCGGGGAGAGAAAGAUUUAGUAUGUCUGUCUUGUGAGAAACAGGUCACAGGUCAGAGACACACACACAUAAUCGGACAGACAACCCAGAAACCACAAGGGGGGCAAGGGGAUACUUGCAGUUAUCCUAUAAGGAAUAGAACUGGGAUUGGGCCAAUGGCACAUUUGCUUUGUGAACUUAACGACUCUAUCUUUUGGGCGUAGUGGAAGUAUAAAAUGAUCUGUUGACUGUUGAUCCUUAGAUAUUGUGCGGCGACCCUUGUCUCCAAAAGCUUUUGUAAUAAACGGAAUAUGCGGUACGGUAAUUGACCUGACUCCUGGUGUUUUAUUCUCCUUUCCAACAAACCAACUCGGGGAAGUGUUAGACUUCAACAAUUUUGGGGGCUCGUCCGGGAUUGGAAAAAGGAGAAGGAAUUCGACCUGGUCCAGACAACCUAUGCGAGAUUCACAGGUUCCGAGCCGGCUCAUGAUAAAGGGGUCGGCAAUGGCGAUACACGAGACUACCACAGGGGUUUGCGCUUUCCCCUGGCAUAUUCAACCAGGUACUGAGAGAAGCGCUGCAGGGAUGCUGCCUGCCGACAGGGGUGCCUGUUCGUUUCAGAAUUCACCAAUAGAGUCGGAGAACGGAGGGACCUGCACCCGCUGGACCAGAACCUGCCCCAGGCGGAGUGGGUGUUGCUGAAGGUCAUGAAGCGAAAUUGGUCGGAGCCAAGGUGGACGGGUCCUCAUCAGGUGGUGGAGAGAACGAGUCAUGCGGUCCGCCUGAGGGACAAAGGAGAGACCUGCUACCAUUGGAGCCAGUGUACACCAGCGCAGGAGCCAGGGAGGUCGCUAACGGACCUCAUCCAAACCGGGAAGGAGGAGCUUUCCCCAGUGUGGACGGAAGGAGGACCAGCACCAGCCGGACCGGUGCCAGGAGCGGACCCCAGGACACGGCGGGACUACGAGCGAGUGAAGGAGACAAAGCACGGCGUCAGGGGAAUAGACUCUUAGGGGAAGGAACUGAAGAAUACUGUAACAAAAGGGGGUAUAGGACACCGAGUGGCUACCACUCAUACCAAGAUGACAGGGUUACAGAGAAAGGUCUGGGGAAAUGAUAAUAGAAUUAAGUGGUACAUGGACAUGGACAAUAAUGAUGUGUGUUGUAUGUUGUUACAGGUUUCCCAGGUUGGCAUCGGGUCUUCAUUCCCCCAGCGAAGAGGUUCGCGACCCCACCUGAGGACACCUGUUUGAGGAAAUUAGGGGGUAUUGAAUUGGACUAUGUCAAGGGGUCACAUAUACGAGCACUCUGGGAUAGAUAAUCCACUGGAGGAGUGGCUGACCUCGAUGUUCGGCCAGUGGAAAGGUUUGAUAAUGUCUGUUCUUUUAUCGCUUGCUUCAUGUGGUGCUAUAAUGGUCACUUGUGGGUGUUGUUGUAUCCCAUGCAUAAGAGGGCUUGCCAUGAGAGUGAUAUCUCCAGCCAUUGAGAAGGCUCCAGGAUCGCCACCAGGGAUGCUGAUGCCUCUACUGGAGCAGCAUGACCCGGGAGAACUGGAGCUUGGCGAAUAGGGGUGAUCUCUCUGGGGAGAGAUCAAAAGGGGGAAUUGUAGAUGUAUUGAUUGUAUGAGUUAGUGAACUGUUGUAAGCUGUUGUAACCAAUUAAACAAAAUAUUAAUUGUUUGUAAUAUGAGCUGAAACUGAAGGAGCAAGUAGGAGAAUAGGAAACCCUGUUCAAGCGGUUGCCGGGGAGAGAAAGAUUUAGUAUGUCUGUCUUGUGAGAAACAGGUCACAGGUCAGAGACACACACACAUAGUCGGACAGACAACACAGAAACCACAAGGGGGGCAAGGGGAUACUUGCAGUUAUCCUAUAAGGAAUAGAACUAGGAUUGGGCCAAUGGCACACUUGCUUUGUGAACUUAACAACUCUAUCUUUUGGGGGUAGUGGAAGUAUAAAAUGAUCUGUUGACUGUUGAUCCUUAGACAUUGUGCGGCGAACCUUGUCUCCAAAAGCUUUUGUAAUAAACGGAAUAUGUGGUACGGUAAUUGACCUGACUCCUGGUGUUUUAUUCUCCUUUCCAACAAACCAACUCGGGGAAGUGUUAGACUUCAACACUACACCAAGAUAUGUUGGCACAGGAGUGGAAAUUGGACGAUGGUCGGAUCAGUGGAUACAUCUUCAACCCAGAGCUACCGGAGGCUGCAUUUUAUGAAUUACCCGAAGCCCAUGACUUUAAGGCUGGUGUGACUGAUCAAAU